GUUCACCGAGUUAUUAUCAUCCAUAAUACAUUUUAACAAAAUAUAAAGUAAACGAAUUAAGUUGACAGUAAUAGUCGAUGUUAAACUUUAUAUCCCUAAAUUUGCACAAAAGCAAGAUAGAGGAUUGUUUUUGUUUUAAUCAGGACCUGAACACUGAGAGCUAAACCUUUAAACAGCAGCUUCAUUGAAAUAUAUUGAUUAAAUGUGCACUAUAAAUGUUAUUAUAGGAUGAAAUUGCACAUAUCUGGAUUUUUUCAUAAAAACUAUGAUUGUCAGUGUGUGACCUAACAAGAGUUUAAUUAUCUACACCUAUUUUCCGAUUCAUAUUUUCAAUAAACCAACAACUAUAUUAACUAAAAGUUCAAUGGCAAAUAUUUCAUGCAUAAUUAACAUGCAGAGAGCUUGGCAAUAUCUCUAUAAGAUGCAUCUGAUUAAACGUCCCCAUUCUGACCUGCAUGGACUGGGUACUUGUAUAUCCCGC
rnacentral:lncRNA from 1 species